CAGUCGGAUUUUAGUGGAAGUUUUGAGGAGGAGCUACCUAAGCCUUAUGGUGCCUGGAUUCUCACUGCCAAAAAUCUGACAGAAGUGAUUGAGACUGGCCAACUACGUGCAAGAGUUGAGGAGUUACCUAUGCUCAGCAUUGAUGGCCUCCAAGGGUACAAGUCUCAGCACCUUGCCCAUCUGGUGCUGGGGUACAUCACCAUGGCAUAUGUGUGGAAUCGAG